UUAUGAAUUUUCCAUUCAUUUUUUUUUUCUUUUUUAUGUGAAUGACUUUACAGGUUCAUAUUGUAGUCAUAACUUCUUAUAAAUGAUAGCACAUAUUGGAAGAGGUUACUAUGAUGAUGGUACUUAACCGGUGUCUUUAGUAAUCACCCCCUAUCAUACCUCAUGGCCUUUGUAUUUGGCAUGCACAACAAAGAAAAUGUUAAGGUGUUCUAUUAUGCCUUCAGUCCAAAUGAUUCAACUGAAUAGAUACAUCGUAUUCAGUCAGAAGUUGAGCACUUUUAGAUGUUUUUGCCAUGUCAUCUGAUAUGAUUGCCAAACUGA